AGUGAGGCGGUGUAAGGGCACGGGAAGUUUUGGGUUUUCAGGAAUCCUUUUGAAAGGGUCUUCAUUG
rnacentral:tRNA from 1 species